AUCAGGAAUAGGACCACAGAAAUGAACGACGUUAGAAAUAGUGUCGGAGAAAUCUAUAACGUCAGGAAUAGGACCACAGAAAUGAACGACACUAGAAACGGUGUCGGAGAAAUCUAUAACGUCAGGAAUAGGACCACAGAAAUGAACAUUU